AGCGAACGCUGGCGGCAGGCUUAACACAUGCAAGUCGAGCGGGCCCUUCGGGGUCAGCGGCAGACGGGUGAGUAACGCGUGGGAACGUGCCCUUCGGUUCGGAAUAACUCAGGGAAACUUGAGCUAAUACCGGAUACGCCCUUAUGGGGAAUGGUUUACUGCCGAAGGAUCGGCCCGCGUCUGAUUAGCUAGUUGGUGAGGUUAUGGCUCACCAAGGCGACGAUCAGUAGCUGGUCUGAGAGGAUGAUCAGCCACACUGGGACUGAGACACGGCCCAGACUCCUACGGGAGGCAGCAGUGGGGAAUAUUGGACAAUGGGGGCAACCCUGAUCCAGCCAUGCCGCGUGGGUGAUGACGGCCUUAGGGUUGUAAAGCUCUUUUCUCCGGGACGAUAAUGACGGUACCGGAGGAAUAAGCCCCGGCUAACUUCGUG
rnacentral:rRNA from 1 species